rnacentral:rRNA from 1 species
GGGAUCUCCCGCAAGGGAGGGAACCGGCGUAAGGGGCAGUAAUGCGUGGGUACCUACCGAGGGGUUCGGGAUAGCCAUCAGAGAUGGUGGGUAAUACCGGAUGACGUCGUGAGACCAAAGAUUUAUCGCCCUUCGAGGGGCCCACGUGAUAUUAGCUAGUUGGUGAGGUAACGGCUCACCAAGGCGAAGAUGUCUAGCGGGUGUGAGAGCACGACCCGCGCCACUCGCACUGAGACACUGGCGAGACACCUACGGGUGGCUGCAGUCGAGGAUCUUCGGCAAUGGGCGAAAGCCUGACCGAGCGAUGCCGCGUGCGCGAUGAAGGCCUUCGGGUUGUAAAGCGCUUUAGUGGGGGAGAAAAGCCCGCAAGGGUGUGAUCUAUCCCAAAAAUAAGCUCGGGCUAAGUUCGUGCCAGCAGCCGCGGUAAGACGAACCGAGCGAACGUUG